rnacentral:rRNA from 1 species
ACCUAGUUGAUCAUGCUAGUAGUCAUGCAUUUAUAAAUAUGAACUAAUUCAGACUAUGAAACUUAGAAUGGCUCAUUAAAUUAGUUAUAGUUUGUUUGAUGGCAUCUACUACUUGGAUAAUCAUAGUAAUUCUAGAGCUAAUAUGCGUAAUAAACCAUGACUUUUGGAAAGGAUGCAUUUAUUAGAUAAAAGGUUGACGUGGGCUUUACCUGUUGCUCUAAUGAUUCAUGAUAACUUGAUGGAUCACAUGGCCUUUGUGCUAGCAAUGCAUCAUUCAUAUUUUUGCCCUAUCAACUUUCAAUGGUAGUAUGAUGGCCUACUAUGGUGGUGAUGGGUGAUGAAGAAUUAGGGUUCCCAGAAAGGGAUACUAAGAAAUGGCUACGACAUCCAAGGAAGGUAGUAGGCACACAAAUUACCCAAUCCUGACACAAUGAGGUAGUGACAAUAAAUAACAAUACCGCACUUUAUGAGUUUGGUAAUUAGAAUGAGUACAAUCUAAAUCCCUUAAUGAGGAUCCAUUUGAAGGCAAGUUUGGUGCCAACAAAAACAAUAAUUCUAGCUCCAAUAGAAUAUAUUUAAGUUGGUGCAGUUAAAAAGCCCAUAGUUGAAACUAAGGUUGGGUCAUCCAGUUCGCCUAAAGGUGACCACUAGUCUACUCAUCCUUACUACCAGCAAUUGGCUCUUGGCCUUAACUAACUCGGUCAGUCCUUCAAUGUUGUUACUUUGAAGAAAUUAGAGUGCACAAAGCAAGCCUACGCUUGUAUACAUUAACAUGGGAUAACAUCAUAGGAUUUCAGUCUUAUUGUGUUGGCCUUUGGGAUCUGAUUAAUGAUUAACAGGGAUAGUCGGGGCAUUCAUAUUUCGUAGAUAGGUGAAAUUCUUGGAUUUAUGAAAAAUGAACAAAUGCAAAAGCAUUUGCCAAGGAUGUUUUCAUUAAUCAAGAAUGAAAGUUGGGGGCUCGAAGACGAUCAGAUACCAUCCUAGUCUAAACCAUAAACAAUGCUGACCAGGGAUCAAUGGAUGUUACUUUUAGGACUCUGUCAGUACCUUAUAAGAAAUCAAAGUUUUACGUUCUAGAGGAGUAUGGUCACAAGGCUAAAACUUAAAGGAAUUGGUGAAAGGGCACCAACAAGAGCACUAGUCAUCAGCUGACAUUGAUUGCAUUCCUGCUUUAUGUACACUUUGCCUGUCAGUCCUACCGAUUGAAUGGUCUAGUGAAGUGUUCAAAUUACAAUAAUGUGGAUAGUUCGCUACCAUGACAUCAUGAGAAGUCUACUAAACCCUAUCAUUCAGAGGAAGGAGAAGUCAUAAAAAGGUUUCCAAAAGUGAACCUAUAGAAGGAUCAUUG